rnacentral:rRNA from 1 species
CCCUAGUACGGGCGAGCGAAACGGGAAUAGCCCAUCUUGUAAAUCUCCCUCGGAGAAUUGUAGUCUAUAGAGGCAUCUUCUGCAACGGCCGGACCUCAAGUCCCCUGGAAGGGGGCGUCAGAGAGGGUGAGAACCCCGUCGGGUCCUGGUGCGGUUGCCCCACGAAGUGCUUUCGAAGAGUCGGGUUGUUUGGGAAUGCAGCCCUAAUUUGGUGGUAAAUCCCAUCUAAGGCUAAAUAUUGGCGAGAGACCGAUAGCGAACAAGUACCGUGAGGGAAAGAUGAAAAGAACUUUGAAAAGAGAGUUAAAAAGUGCUUGAAAUUGUUGAGGGGUAAGCGAUUGGCAGCUGUGUGUGCACCCAGGCUUACGGCGUCUUAACGGGCGCCUGCAUGUGCUGGGUGCUGGUCAGCAUGGGUUAGCCUGGCAGGAUAAACGCAGGGGUUGCUACUCUGUCUAUACUGCCGGGUUGACCGAGGUGUGAAGGCCGCUCUUGUCCCUCGGGAUCUGCGGCCUCAAGAUGCUGGCGGAAGGCUUUCAAUCGGCCCGUCUUGAAACACGGACCAAGGAGUCUAACAUGUAUGCGAGCUGGUGGGUGGCAAACCCAUGAGGCGCAAGUAACCUGACUGGUGGGAUGGCGUAAGCCUGCACCAUCGACCGACCAUGAUCUUCUGUGAAAGGUUCGAGUACGAGCAUACCUGUUGGGACCCGAAAGAUGGUGAACUAUGCCUGAGCAGGGCGAAGCCAGAGGAAACUCUGGUGGAGGCUCGUAGAUGUGCUGACGUGCAAAUCGCUUUUCGGACUUGGGUAUAGGGGCGAAAGACUAAUCGAACCAUCUAGUAGCUGGUUCCCUCCGAAGUUUCCCCCAGGAUAGCUGGAGCUUGAUCAGUUUUAUCGGGUAAAGCUAAUGAUUAGAGGUUCGGGGGAUGAAACAUCCUCCACCUAUUCUCAAACUUUAAAUAGGUAAGACGUGUGGGUUGCUUGAUUGAACCCAUGCAUUCAAUGAGAGCUCC